UUGAACGCUGGCGGCAUGCCUUACACAUGCAAGUCGAACGGCAGCACGGGAGCAAUCCUGGUGGCGAGUGGCGAACGGGUGAGUAAUACAUCGGAACGUGCCCAGUUGUGGGGGAUAGCCCGGCGAAAGCCGGAUUAAUACCGCAUACGACCUACGGGUGAAAGCGGGGGAUCGCAAGACCUCGCGCUAUUGGAGCGGCCGAUGUCGGAUUAGCUAGUUGGUGGGGUAAAAGCCUACCAAGGCUACGAUCCGUAGCUGGUCUGAGAGGACGACCAGCCACACUGGGACUGAGACACGGCCCAGACUCCUACGGGAGGCAGCAGUGGGGAAUUUUGGACAAUGGGCGCAAGCCUGAUCCAGCCAUGCCGCGUGCGGGAAGAAGGCCUUCGGGUUGUAAACCGCUUUUGUCGGGGAAGAAACGGUUUGGGCUAAUACCCCGAACUAAUGACGGUACCUGAAGAAUAAGCACCGGCUAACUACGU
rnacentral:rRNA from 1 species